rnacentral:rRNA from 1 species
CAGCAGCCACGGUAAUACGAAGGGUGCAAGCGUUAAUCGGAAUUACUGGGCGUAAAGCGUGCGUAGGCGGUGAGUCAAGUCUGCUGUGAAAUCCCCGGGCUCAACCUGGGAAUGGCAGUGGAUACUGGCUCGCUAGAGUGUGUCAGAGGAUGGUGGAACUCCCGGUGUAGCGGCGAAAUGCGUAGAGAUCGGGAGGAACAUCAGUGGCGAAGGCGGCCAUCUGGGACAACACUGACGCUGAGGCACGAAAGCGUGGGGAGCAAACAGGAUUAGAUACCCCCGUAGUCCCUGUCUCUUAUAC